AGACGUCAAUCAUCAUGCCCCUUAUGUCCUGGGCUACACACGUAAUACAAUGGCGGUCAACAGAGGGAAGCAAAGCCGCGAGGCGGAGCAAAUCCCCAAAAGUCGUCUCAGUUCGGAUUGCAGGCUGAAACCCGCCUGCAUGAAGUUGGAAUUGCUAGUAAUCGCGGAUCAGCAUGCCGCGGUGAAUACGUUCCCGGGCCUUGUACACACCGCCCGUCACACCAUGAGAGUCGGGAACACCCGAAGUCCGUAGUCUAACCGCAAGGAGGGCGCGGCCGAAGGUGGGUUCGAUAAUUGGGGUGAAGUCGUAAAGGGGUAACCGUAGA
rnacentral:rRNA from 1 species